rnacentral:tRNA from 3 species
GACCCCGUAGUUCAACGGAUAGAAUAGAAGUUUCCUAAACUUUAGAUAUGGGUUCGAUUCCCGUCGGGGUCA